rnacentral:rRNA from 1 species
CUGCGGAGGGAUCAUUACUGAGUGAGGGCCUUCGGGCUCGACCUCCAACCCUUUGUGAACACAACUUGUUGCUUCGGGGGCGACCCUGCCGUUUCGACGGCGAGCGCCCCCGGAGGCCUUCAAACACUGCAUCUUUGCGUCGGAGUUUAAGUAAAUUAAACAAAACUUUCAACAACGGAUCUCUUGGUUCUGGCAUCGAUGAAGAACGCAGCGAAAUGCGAUAAGUAAUGUGAAUUGCAGAAUUCAGUGAAUCAUCGAAUCUUUGAACGCACAUUGCGCCCCUUGGUAUUCCGAGGGGCAUGCCUGUUCGAGCGUCAUUUCACCACUCAAGCCUCGCUUGGUAUUGGGCGCCGCGGUGUUCCGCGCGCCUCAAAGUCUCCGGCUGAGCUGUCCGUCUCUAAGCGUUGUGAUUUCAUUAAUCGCUUCGGAGCGCGGGCGGUCGCGGCCGUUAAAUCUUUCACAAGGUUGACCUCGGAUCAGGUAGGGAUACCCGCUGAACUUAAGCAUAU